ACUGCACCAAGAGUCAAAUGUCCACCGUCUGUGAGAACCAUUAUUCUGUAUCUAGUGAUGUUCGGCAAAUGAACAAAAGUCUUCCUUCAUUCCUGUUAUUCCCUUUCACCUCAGCAAGUUCAGCUGUGUUUAGAAGUUAUUUCGUGACCUUCGAGCCACCUCUUCCUCCUCCUCGGAGUAGAAGGUGUAGGUGUCGGACAUCCUAUCAUCCAGUCGCCUUUGGCAGCAGUAUUCGAGGUGCGAGCGGUCCAGACCCCAAUAAAUGAGCUCAUUGUAAAAGGACAGCUCGCACAUGUGAGGAACAAACCGGAGCUUGCCGUACUUAACGUAAAGCAUGAUGAAGCCGAACGCCUCGGAGUGCCUGUCAAAAAAAUACUCAUUUCUCUCCUGAUCGUAGUCAUCGCACACUUCCAGAACCUCUUUCUCCGAGACACAGUUGUGAAGUCUGCUAACCCUUCUGAGGGGAAAGUCCUUGAUCACGUCCUUCGGGAACGAAUAUCGGGUUCCCCCAACAUUCAGGAUCAAGGGGCCGCUUCCAAACUUCAUCUUCGAGCAAACCCUGGAGCCGCAUGGAUUUUCCGGUUCCAGCGCAUGGGUUCAGUGGAAGGAUUAUCGCCCUCACUCCUCACUUGUGCAGAACCCCCAGCCGCUCUGGUCGAGUUUCCAAAGCUGGUGAUGAUGCCGAAAAGUUGUCAGUCAUGUUACUUGGAGCUCAGCAUUUUCCUGCCUUGCUGCACGGGGAGCGAUGCGGAACGGGGAGGGUGAGUUCCUGGCUUGGUGCUGAAGCUGCUGUGGUUCCUCUGCCUGCCUGCCUCGCUCUCUCUCCCUCUCUCUCUGUUAGAGUGUGGCUCAGCCCCACAGGCGGGUAAACGAGCAGAACUCCAGCACUAGAGUGACGUGAACGGCUUCCACUAACCACAGCGCCUCUUCACCCACAGCCUGCAAUCGACAAACAAGACUCUGCAAAAAUCAAAUCCACGGCACUGCUCCGGGCUCACACGUAAUAUUACACCUAUAUUCAGACUUCCGUAUUUGGACUGGCGAGUGUUUACAACAACAUGGAAACAAACGUGACUUAUUUUGACACAAUGGAACCCUCUCUAUGCUUUGGGGAAUAAUGUGUCACGUUCGCCUCAACUUGUCUUUAAAUAUCAGGGCGUCUCUUGGAUCCGCUUGGACUUCCUUUUGAUUUCCAAACACAAAGUUGGAGCCGUCGAGGCAUAACGAAAGCUCACACUGUUUUACUUACGCCUUUCUGUAAACACCUUUCCCACUUACAUCCAGCACUUUGUUCAGACCAGGAGGCGAGAUGGAGGCAAUUAACAUGCAAAUCUGGGCGACGACUUCUUUCGAACUUUUAGAUUUUCUGCCACAUUACAGAUUUAAAAAGUAAUAAUCGGGGUAGUUUUUUUUUCUUUUUGUAUAUCAAAUCGCAGUUGAAUACAAUUUACGAUGUAAUGUAAUCAUGUCCCGGGCUAUUUGCUGUCGAAUGAUUAGACCUGUACAAUCUCCAGUCAAAAUGAUAGGGAAUUUAAUUAUCCAAACUCCAUUUGUCAAUGAGAAACAUUAAAUUGACGAUUCAUGA